rnacentral:lncRNA from 1 species
CCUCGCUCGGCGCCCGCGAGUCUGUCGGGCUGGAGUGGUAGCCAUAAUCCCGGGGUCACUGGGGAGGGGGUGACCCCUUUUGGGUUCCGGAGGUCAGACUCCAGGCCAUCGUGGGUCACCUGGAGGGGCUGCAUUCAGUUGUGAUAACCAGGGCGUAUUCGGCCGUCUGGUAGUUGGUCACUUGGUAGGUCUGCGCCCAGAGGAGGGCGGUGGCCCCGUACUAAAAUCGAUGUCAGCGGCACCAUCGCCCCUUCUAUAGUCGGCAUCUAUGGAGGAGACCCCAGGCAAGGAGAAACGCCGAGAACCGGAUUGGAGUGCGUUUCAGGGGCGCGCGGAAACGCCCCGGGGAGAGCCGGGAGGCAGCGGCGACGGCGCAGCCUGGGACGGCCAGGAGCGCGGGGCGGGGAGCGGCCGGUGGCCGUGGGCGUCUCACCAAAGCGGCCCUGGAGGGGCCCCCGGCUCCCAGCCAAGCCCACGUGAAGCAGCAUCAGGGCAGUUGCAGCUGUAGAGGAACCGCGCGUCGUGAAAGCCUUGACUUACUCUCCAUUUCUGACGUUUUGGUUUUAAUUUGCACGGAGUAAACGAAGUAGCCGUCGGUUCCGGCCGCGGACCCGAAGCGCGCGCAGGCUCGGGACCCGCACUCGGGACUCCUGGCGGCACGGGUCCUGGAGGCACGAGAGACCGUAAGGGCAAAGGUCGGGAACGUGUGCUCCCCGCGUGUCCCCAGGCUACCUUCGCAGGUGUGGACAUCUCUCUGCGCUACUUUGGUGCCUUAACUCUGCUUGGUCUCCACUCGGAAGCUUUUUAUUUUUGUUUUAGAAACGAAAAGACUUUAGAGGCCAGCGCCCGUCCUCUCCCGUAGGCCGCAUCUCCAGCCCCCGCGCCCCAGGGUUGCACGGGGGGCUUGCGCGGUGGGUCUUUUUGGCGGAGAACCGCCCCGCGAGGCUCAGCUUCUCCUGCCGAGUCGCCCCUGGAACGCCCAGACCCGUGUCCGGCCCCCGAUUUUAUUUCUACUUCGGAGUCGUUUUCUUACCCAGGACUCACUCAAGAGCCCGCGCGGGAAGGACCGCCCUUUAUGAAAAGCCAGGGACUUCCAUUUCCAAACGAAAGGUCGGCGCUCUCCUGCACCCGCUGUGGUCGAGGCCCACCCGGGGUCCCGGGAACGAAGGCUGCGGAGACCCGGCCGGCCCCUUCUUUCACCCACUUUACCACCCCAUCAGCCCUGAGACGUGCGGCGCAGAGGGUCGGUCUGCAUCACUGAUUGGCAGAGCUGGACUUUCAACUCCUCAUUCUACAGAGACGGAAACUGAGGCACAGACGGGAGAAAAAGUAGCUGUGGAGCGCAGGGGUUAAGAGCAAGGACUGGUGGCCAGAGAAUGGAAUCCGUUCCACCGGGUGACCAGCAGCUGUGUGACCCUAGACGAGUUCCGUAGCCUCUCCAAACCUGUUUCCCUUUUGGUCAAACGGAAUAAUGGGAAAUGAGCUCAUGAGGUCUCGGGGAUUGGGCAGGAGGCUAGUGUUGGCCUAUGCGCUCAACAGACGUUACCACUUUUGUUUCUAUUGUUGUUCAAACACAGGUAGCAAGUUAGUGGCAAAGCCGAGCCGAAACCCAGGUCCCUCGACAUCCAGCUCGGGCUUUACCACCAUCCCAAGGCCCUAAAGGCUAAAGGAAUGAGGGGGAAAGGAAAAAGGAGGGCGAGCGGGACUCUGGGAGCCCGGGUGGCUUUGGAACGUCGGUAAAGCUCAUCCUGGCCUAACGGUGCUUAAUUAUUACAGGAUCAAAAUAUCGCGCCUGAGUGGGAGCGGGCAGUGGGGACCUCUGAACCCCCGCUUGACCCCGGCGCUGUCAACUGCCCCUGCCCGAGCGCGGCG